rnacentral:rRNA from 1 species
UUAUUUCCNAUUCCCUUGAGUUGAUCUGGCUCGAACGAACGCUGGCGGCAUGCCUAACACAUGCAAGUCGAACGGGAUCCAGGCUUCGGCCUGGUGAGAGUGGCGGACGGGUGAGUAACGCGUGGGAACCUGCCCAAUGGUCUGGGAUAACCGCGGGAAACUGCGGCUAAUACCGGAUAAGCCCGAGAGGGGAAAGAUUUAUCGCCGAUGGAGGGGCCCGCGUCAGAUUAGGUAGUUGGUGGGGUAAUGGCCUACCAAGCCUACGAUCUGUAGCUGGUCUGAGAGGAUGAUCAGCCACACUGGGACUGAGAUACGGCCCAGACUCCUACGGGAGGCAGCAGUGGGGAAUAUUGGACAAUGGGGGCAACCCUGAUCCAGCAAUGCCGCGUGAGUGAUGAAGGCCUUAGGGUUGUAAAGCUCUUUUGGCGGGGACGAUGAUGACGGUACCCGCAGAAUAAGCCCCGGCUAACUUCGUGCCAGCAGCCGCGGUAAUACGAAGGGGGCGAGCGUUGUUCGGAAUUACUGGGCGUAAAGGGCGCGUAGGCGGCCGAUCAAGUCAGAUGUGAAAGUCCUGGGCUUAACCUGGGGACUGCAUUUGAUACUGAUUGGCUUGAAUUCGGGAGAGGAUAGCGGAAUUCCCAGUGUAGAGGUGAAAUUCGUAGAUAUUGGGAAGAACACCGGUGGCGAAGGCGGCUAUCUGGACCGACAUUGACGCUGAAGCGCGAAAGCGUGGGGAGNCAACAGGAUUAGAUACCCUGGUAGUCCACC